rnacentral:rRNA from 1 species
AACGAACGCUGGCGGCACGCCUAACACAUGCCAGUCGAACGAGACCUUCGGGUCUAGUGGCGCACGGGUGCGUAACGCGUGGGAACCUGCCCUUAGGUUCGGAAUAACUCCCCGAAAGGGGUGCUAAUACCGGAUAAUGUCUUCGGACCAAAGAUUUAUCGCCUUUGGAUGGGCCCGCGCUGGAUUAGCUAGUUGGUAGGGUAAAAGCCUACCAAGGCGACGAUCCAUAGCUGGUCUGAGAGGAUGAUCAGCCACACUGGACUGAGACACGGCCCAGACUCCUACGGGAGGCAGCAGUGGGGAAUAUUGGACAAUGGGCGAAAGCCUGAUCCAGCAAUGCCGCGUGAGUGAUGAAGGCCUUAGGGUUGUAAAGCUCUUUUACCCGGGAUGAUAAUGACAGUACCGGGAGAAUAAGCUCCGGCUAACUCCGUG